ACGACCUUACUUGAACAGGAUCUGUUCUAUAGGCUCGUAUCACUGUAUCCUUGAGUUCUAAGGAGACAGGAAUCCAAGUCUGGUGGAUGAAUUCUAACCAUUAGACCAGAGCGUGAUUAAUAGCCCCAGUGGCCUUCGGGUCAUGGUGCCGUAGAGGAUUGUUCUCAGCUCCAACCAUAGGUGCUGGGGUGGUCUGUUGGCUGUCUGACAGACU